rnacentral:RNase_P_RNA from 1 species
CCGGGGAGCCGGGCAGCCGCGCCGCCGUUACGGGCGUGCGAGGAAAGUCCGGGCUCCACGAAACGAGGGUGGCGGGUAACGCCCGCCCGGCGAGAGCCGAGGGAAAGUGCCACAGAAAGCAGUCCGCCGAUGGUCCGCUCGCGGACACAGGCAAGGGUGAAAGGGUGCGGCAAAAGCGCACCGGGGGUCUGGCAACAGACCUCGCACGGCAAACCCCACCCGGAGCAAGACCGCAUAGGGGUCUCGCGCCAGCAAUGGCAGGAGCGUUUCGCUCCGAGAAGACCCGGGUUGGUCGCUGGAGCGGUCGGAGCGAUCCGCCGCGUAAGAUGAAUGGCUGCCCCCGCGCCGCUGAUGCCGAACGGCAUAUCGAUCGCGGGACAGAACCCGGCUUACAGGCUCCCCGGCACG